rnacentral:pre_miRNA from 1 species
AUACAGGUUACCAGAGGAUCUUGUUAGAAUGCAGAUUCUGAUCCAGCAAGAAUGCAGUGGGGCCCAGGAGUCUGCAUUUCUAACAAGUCCCUGGCUGAUGAUACU